rnacentral:lncRNA from 1 species
UGAUGGGUUUUGCCAGCUUGCCGAUAUCCUUCUGAGGAUAUGCACUCGAAUCGGUAUGUUAUCUGUUAAAUAGGAUUUCAAGUAAGUCCAUAAUUGUUGGUUUUCGGUGGCACAAUGGAAGGGUUAGGUGUUUAAAAUUUUCAUUCAAAACACCCAAUGCACCGGAAGCCUUAAUGCCCAGAAACUCUUGACUAUAAUAAUCAAAGCAUAAGAAAUAUAAAUUAGGAUAAGAAGAAUACCUAUAGCGCUAAUCUCAAUUUCUACAAGGCAUCCAAG